rnacentral:lncRNA from 10 species
UUUGUUCUUUCACUCUUCACAGUAAAUCUUGGCUGCUGCUCACUCUUUGGUUCUGCAUUACAGCAAGGGUCUGCUGCUUCACUCCUGAAGUCAGCUAGACCAUGAACCCACCAGGAGGAACAAACUCUGGACACACCAUCUUUAAGAACUGUAACACUCACUGGGAGGAGCCACAGCUUCAUUCUUGAAGUCAGCAAGACCAAGAACCUACCGGAAGUAACCAAUUCCAGAUACAAUGUCAUACUACAUUUCAACAAACAUUGUGCUACAAUACAAUGCAUUUAAAAUAUUUGGACUUUUUCAAACUUUCAACUUUUAGAAGACUAACAUUUUCUUUAAAAUAUAUGUUGCUUUUCUCUGUUAUUUAUGGGUUAUUUAGCCAACAAUUUGUGAUUGAAGCUGUGUGUCCAAGCAAUUGGAGCUUCUGAAUUUAAUAAAAACAAAUCUUCACCAUUUGGUUUCCAUUAUUUAGCACAAUGAAGUAAAUACUGUGCCUUUAAAUGCUUUUUUGACAUACUAUUUAAAUGUUUUAUUGACAUAUUAUUUAAUCUGUGUAAUAAUACUAUGUAUAGGUCAUAUAACACCUAUUUUAAAAUGAAGAAAUAAGGCCCAGAGAAUUUAAAUAAAUCACCCAAGGUCACACAGACAAUCAAAAGCAGAGCUAAAUUUUUAACCCAGGUUUAUCUAACUCCAAAGCUCAUGGUCUUAAUCACACUGUAGUUUACAUUGCAUUAUUUAAAUGAGUGAGCAUCAUUAUUAAGUGAAUGAGUAUAUAACUUAUUUUCUUUUAGCCAUUUCAGGGAGCCUGUUUUCCAUCACAUGGAAGAUAAUUUCACAAUAAUAUGACUAUUCUUCUCUCAUAGCCAUAAGAUGAUGAAAAUAAAUCAUUUAAAGUGCAUUUUCUUACCUAGAAAUGUCUUUUGUUUGGCAGAAUGAUUAAAAUAACUGUCACUUAUUCACUUAGGAAAAUAAAAGUAGUUGAAGGGGAGAAUAACUUUAUAAAGUGAUAUUUUCAGCAGCAAGGGUGGCCUCUUUUUCUUCUCUUCAACACAAUUAUUUCUAGUUAAUUUUACUGAGGGAGGGAAUUUCAUGAAUUUUGUACUCUGUAUUUAGUGACCAAUAUGUUUCUCAAGGUGCUAAUUUUCUGUUAAUGAGCAAUUGCUGUGGUUGGUUGGCAUUAUAAACUGAAGUUUAUAAACUACUUUAAAAAAUUAGUUAAAAUAUCUGAUUGUGAUCCUACCAGAAGGUAACAUUAGAAACCUAUUGAAAUGAUCCGUAGCUUUAUUUUUUUUGUUAAGCAUAAUUGUAUUGCUUGAUAAUAUGUACUAAUCAUCAAGAGUCAUAGUAAACAUAUAAUCUACUCACCAACUGAAAUCUUAUGGCUCAGGAAAAUUUUUUGUUUUGUUUUAAUAAGCAGUUUCUUUGCAAAUUAAGAUAUUUUUAAAUUGUCGGGAUAAAUAUAAUGGGGACUAUUCUCAUACAUUCAUACAUACUAAAAACUGCUUUAGGCAAUUUUUUGAAAAUAUUUCCACAUUAUAUGCAAGCUUUGGAAAACAGGAACCACCGCUAUAAGCAUAUCUGCUAUGUUAGAACAUGAAGCAAAGGUUAAUUUCCAAUUUAAUGUUUCCUCCCAGAUGGAGCUUCUACCUAGCUUGUCAUCAACAUCUCCAUUUAGUGUGACCAAAAUGAAUAGUGACCAAAUCAGAAUUCUAGAGUUUAUAGAAAUGUUGAGUUCAUCCUCCAGCCUCUAAGCUGAAAUGUGGUUAAUUCUCCCCUGGCCCAAGUCUCUCUCAAUGUAAUGCUGUUCAUUUCCCAAAGGUUUCUUCUUCUUCCCUUAUAUAAACAUGACUGAAGCCUACAAUGAUACACUGUAGGAGCAUCCCCACUGAUGCAAUGUUGGAAGGAAGCAGAGAUUGGCACCUUAUAUCCUUAUUUUAAUUAUUAGAUUUUGGAGAAAUCCCUAUUCUGAGCUUCUCCACAAAAAGAUCUCAGGUGCUUUUCUUGCCUCGCAGCACCAAUUCCUCUUCUGUUAAUAUCACAUAUAUUCACUUGAGGAAAACUCUCCUCCCAGACAUGAUUUAGGUGGAAUUGCUCCGAUUUCCACUUCCUUCACUUGAAAGGAAAACACACACACCAAGACCUAAAAAACUAGUGCUUAAGUGCUUGGCAGACAAACCCAAAUUUGCAGGCUUCUAAGAGCUCACAUUCUGGAUCUGACCGCCCCAAGAUCCUAGUUUACAGGUAGUCAUAUGUCACCUUCAGGAUAUUCGCCACAGCUAAAUACCACCUGUUCUGUAAUUUACUUACUCUUUUUUCUCUAAUUUGACUUUGUUAAGUAAACUUUCUAUUUUGAAAUGAUUUUAAAUUGACAUGCAUUGGUAGGAAAUAAUAUAGAGAUGCAUUUGUAGGAGAUAAUAACAUGCAUUUGUAGGAAAUAAUAUAGAGAUGUUUUUACCUGGUUUCCCUCAAUGGUAGCAUCUUGUAAAACUAUAGUACCACAUGCCAACGAGGAUAUUGACAUUAAUACAGUCUACCAAUCUUAGUUGGAUUUUGCUGCUACCCAGUUUUACAUGAGCUUUGGAUACCAGAUACAUAGAAUGACAUGUCCUCAUUUGCAUC